AUCCAACUGACGAGUCCCAAAUAGGACGAAACAUGCGUCCUGGAU
rnacentral:hammerhead_ribozyme from 1 species